rnacentral:rRNA from 1 species
AUGCCUUUAUUCUCCAUGUUUGCUAAAAGAGAGCUGCCCAGGAGCAACCAUGGAUGCUCCGCGUUCAAGGUGUACAAGGCCGAUUUGGAGUGGUUCCCUCGCAAGCCCCUGCUAUUCCCCACCUCUCGCGGGGUUCUACAUCUAGAUUGUUUUCUUCGGUGGCAGGAAGGUUUCCAAGGAGGUACAGAUAGCAAAGUUCAAACAAUUCAGUGCAGCAGCAGCAACACCUCCAAGGCCCUUAAGAUGAGUGAUGAACACCCGUUGAGCCGUCCAAUGUUGCCUUUGGCAACUACACCAGAGCCGUCGUCUCCUUUGACUUCACCGCCAUCGUCUCACAAAGUUCUAAGGUCAAUUCUCUAA